GGGGGUGUUUCGGUUUCGACCGGCGGUAUGUCAGGUCAGUAGUUGCAAGCGGAGCGCCAACUCCUAAAACUAGCACACGCUUUACCUGCCAAAAAAGAAGACGAAAACGUCUCUUAUGACGCAGAAUAUGCUUUCGCUGCCUAAGGUAGUGUAAGUAUACAGGUUCGCCAGGUGCAGCCCAUAACCUGCGGAUACCUGUAACAACAGGGGCUUACCAGCACGAAUGCCAGUGGCGUGCAGGGACACCAAAGCUGGAUACGGCGUAUCCACGUUUGCCGAUAAACCACGGUACGCCGGAACCACAGAGCAUCGGCUAAGCUUGUAGAUGCUGCUGGGUGGCCCGUCGGGACGAGGGUUCGAAUCCCUCCACCUCCAUCA
rfam:Spirochaeta coccoides DSM 17374, complete genome.